GGUGCGGUGCAGGAGACCCGUCCCAACCACCCAACUCCCUUCCCCUGCACACACAGGUGAUACCUGCCCUGGCGGUUACCCGUGGGGCACCACGGUGUGGUCCUUACUGCGCUUGGCUCACUGUCGCUCUAGGAACCCCGGCAGCAGGGCACAUGGGGGUAGUGUGCCCCGGUUCGGCUGUGCAAUCGGCCUGGGACGGUUCCAGGCGCCAGGCUGUGAUAAGCACGGCCAAGUAAAGCACAGGGGGUCAGCAGCAGUGUCAGUUACUCAAUCCAUCUGGAAACAGCCAUGAGAGAGUCAGCGGCUCACGUGAAGGCGGCUCACCUGAAAGCCGGCGUGGCGCACCUACUGCUGUUGCUGCUGCUUCAAGAACCCGAUUGCUAAAACCAUCACCGUACAGAUGAAUGGAGAUGAUGACAGUGGCAUCCUUAGUUUCUGUGUCAAAAUAUACCAAAUAGUCCAUGAAGCCUCAACAGCUUUCCCAUGGAAACAGCAAUACUCUUCAGACAACAUAUCCUUACUUGGCUUAUUGAUAACAUUUUCUCUAUCAAACAUGAAUCUGUGGUAACAUGAUAAAAUGAAAAAUCUGGAUUCUGUCAGAAGCAUGAAACUCAUUAAUGAAAGUAGUUAUUAGUGUGUGGAACUUACACAGCACAGCAAUAACCUUGUGGAUUUAUAGAUAAACGUGAAACCUGAAUCUUUGACACAGCCUCCAAAAUUGUCUAAAGCAAUGGCCAGCAGAGGUGGCAAAGCAGUGGUUAAUACUAGUCUGUAAUGUCACUCAUCAAUAAUCUUUUAUUAGUGGAGUCACUUUGAAUAAAAUCUUUGGUUAGGUACAGAUAAGAUCUUCUUUCUCUAUCAAUUACAACUUUCAGCGUUUAAUUCACACUUUACUGUAUCUCCUAAAAGUAUUUCUAUAUACUUCCACAACCAAGUUUUUACCCUGUCUUGCUGUUAGCAAGAUGAUUUUUCUCCCACAAUUUUCUCUCCCAUUUUGACCUUGAAAUCAACACGUUCUUCUCCCAUCUUUUAUACAUAAACUGUUCCCUCUAACAAUUUUUUUUCUGUUUAUACUCCUGUCUAAAUACAAAUUACAGUCAUAGAUCAAAUCCUCUGUGAAUGCCUCUGCUUGUAUUCAUGGCUCUACUUACAAGCACGUGUACUAACACAUAACUAGACAUUGGGGAAAUCUUAUUUAUCUUCCCUACCUUUAUUCAUUGUAUUUUAUUCGUUCUAACAUCAGUCUUGACUGUGCCUUCAAAUUGAUUUGUGGGAGCCAAGCCAAGAGUAGUGAGGAGCUCUUCAGCUCUGGGUCUUUGCAAGCUGCAGGUCCUGGCCAAGGGCACUGCAGGAGUGCAACAAGAAGACAAUGAGAAUACAGGCUGUGAAGUCUCUCCUCCUUUGAACCAUCAUGACUCAUGCUCCUGAGGGAGAAAGUCAAGGAUUUGUUGGCAUUUCUCUCCAUCUCUCAUGUGCCAACACUCCAUGUAAGCACAACAUUUCUAAAGUCAGCUUGAGACUAAGGGGACAGAAGUGACCCACAUUGAAAAUGCCACUGUGCUCAUCACAGCCUGUCAUCCAAAUUAGCAUUUGGAAAGUGGCCGGACCCAACACCCAAUCAGUGAAUCCUGUUUACUUAAUGAUCUCAUCCAGAAAUAUCUGGCUACUGAAGGGAGAAGGAACAUAGCUGCUCUGAGAUUAGCAACGUGCCCCAUGCUAUGUAGGGAGGCAGCCCACCAAUGCGGGCAGACCCUAUAGAGUCCUCCUGAGGAAGGUAAUUUAGACACCUUGAUCCAUCACUGCAGGCUUGAAGCUGCUUUUUUCCUUUCCUGGAAAAAAAAAUACUAUUAAGCAGCCUGUUAGGAAAAAUAUAGUUUCCUUUCUUCUUACUUGCCCCUUAAAGCAAAAAUGCAAUUUUCAUCAUAUAGAAAAAAACAGACUGAAAAUUCAUAAAAAUCAGCAUUGCUUUUACGCUUCUUUUCUGUCUUCCUCCAAAACCAGUCUUUUUUUAAGUGGCCAGUGAGAAUACAUAAAUGUAACUGGAUUAAAAAUUUGCUUUUAAUAUGUGAAGAGAAUACUUAUAAUGUGAAAAUAUUCUAGAAAAAAAUUUCCCUAAGAAGCGUAAUUAAAAUCAAGGAAAGAAAAUUAGAGGAAAGAUAUUGAUAGCCUACGUGGACUCUGAUUAAAAUUAAAAUCGAAAGCAUAUUGAAAUAGACUAAUAUGUCUGGCUGAUAGAUCUCUUUUUCUUUAUUUCUCUGCACAGUAGCAGAGAAAUGGAGGUGAAAGGCAUUUAGGAGCCUUGAGAAUUAGCUGUAUUUCUUAACUAUCUCUUUUCAUAUAAAACAAAAUUCUAUAUGCCUACAUAUUUGUCUUGGGGUGUGUAGGUGCAUGUGUGCGUGUGCAUGUGUGUAUGCCUGUAAAUUAACAUAUAGAAUAGAAUUUUAAAAUAAUUGUAAUGGAAUGAAAUUCUAAUGUAUCUAAUGUGACCAAAAUUUCAAAAAACAAAUAUGGUGUUGAAGGUGGGGAACUAGGCUGUUGGUGUUGUCUCGUUGGCAACUCUGGGGUGUUUCUGUGGUGGAAUGUUAAACUGCACCGCCCCCCAGUCUACCCUACACUGUGAGCUAAAUGAAUGCCUCAUUCCUCAAACUCCAGAUCUGGACUUGAGGUAGCAGAUAAGAGGUAGCUUCCGGUUUGGGAGUAUCAUGAAUAAAACUACUAAAAACAUUUGUAUUCUUGUUUUCAUGUAAAUAUACAUUUUCAUUUCUCUGGGAUAAAUGCCCCGAGAGAGCAACUAUUGGGUCAUACAGUAGUUAUACAUGUAUUUUUAUAAGAAACUGCCAGUUUUCCAGAGUGGCUGUACCACUUUACAUGCUUAUCGACAAUGUAUGAGUCAUCCAGUUUCUCCUCAUCCUCACCAGCAUUUCUUAAACUAAGUACUUUUUAUUUUAGUACUAUUUAUUUAUUUAUUCAUUUAUUCAUUUAUUUAUUUUAGUACUAUUUAUUUUAUUUUUUAUUUUUAUUGUUGCCAGGCACACACUCACUCACAGACUUAAGUAUACCCACAAACCAGUUGUGUUCGUGGGUAGUACGGGGAGGAGAAUAUACACUCACAUAUCAUAAGUGGCCGCCACAGCACUUCUUUUCCUAGCUCUAAGAACAUUUUGUGUAAACUUGAAGACUUAAGUGGUUAAGUAGGUACAAUGUUUACUUUUAAAAUAUCAAAAUUACCAAAGUUUGUGUCCUUGACUGGGCCUGCGUAUUUCUGUUUAGCCAGAAAACAGUGCAUUAUGGAUGUCUCAAGAGGGUGUGUUAGGAUGAUGGAUGAAGAGUUUCUUUUUUUUUUUUAAGUUUAUUUAUUUAUUAUUUUGAGAGAGUGAGAGAGAGUGCAAGCGAGGAAGGGGUGGAGAGAGGGAGAGAUAGAAUCCCAAGCAGACUCUGCAUUGUUAGUGCAAAGCCUGACACAGGGAUCAAACUCACUUAAGUGAGAUCGUGACCCAAGCAGAGAUCAAGAGUGGACACUCAGCUGACUGAGUUUGUUAUGUGAGGCAAUUACACCAGAAUAACAAUUCUGGUCAUCCAGAAUUCAAGUCAACAUUGAUAAACUUUUAUUAAAUAAAACUUAUUGAGGCAACUGGGUGGCUCAGUUGGUUGAGCAUUGGACU